CCUACGGGAGGCAGCAGUGGGGGAUAUUGCACAAUGGGGGGAACCCUGAUGCAGCGACGCCGCGUGGGUGAAGAAGCGCCUCGGCGCGUAAAGCCCUGUCAGCAGGGAAGAAAAUGACGGUACCUGAAGAAGAAGCCCCGGCUAACUACGUGCCAGCAGCCGCGGUAAUACGUAGGGGGCAAGCGUUAUCCGGAUUUACUGGGUGUAAAGGGGGCGCAGACGGCGAUGCAAGCCAGGAGUGAAAGCCCGGGGCCCAACCCCGGGACUGCUCUUGGAACUGCGUGGCUGGAGUGCAGGAGGGGCAGGCGGAAUUCCUGGUGUAGCGGUGAAAUGCGUAGAUAUCAGGAGGAACACCGGUGGCGAAGGCGGCCUGCCGGGGUGCGACUGACGCUGAGGCUCGAAGGUGCGGGUAUCAAACAGGAUUAGAUACCCCAGUAGUC
rnacentral:rRNA from 1 species